AGAGUUUGAUCAUGGCUCAGAAUCAACGCUGGCGGCGCGCUUAACACAUGCAAGUCGAACGAGAAAGCCCGCAAGGGUGAGUAAAGUGGCGUACGGGUGAGUAACACGUGGGUAAUCUACCUUUUGGUGGGGAAUAACGCUGGGAAACCGGCGCUAAUACCGCAUAAGCUCGUCAUUAUCAAGAUGACGCGGAAAGGAGCAAUUCGCCGAAAGAGGAGCCCGCGGCUGAUUAGCUAGUUGGUGAGGUAAAGGCUCACCAAGGCAAUGAUCGGUAGCCGGCCUGAGAGGGCACACGGCCACACUGGCACUGAAACACGGGCCAGACUCCUACGGGAGGCAGCAGUGGGGAAUCUUGCACAAUGGGGGAAACCCUGAUGCAGCGACGCCGCGUGAGUGAUGACGCCCUUCGGGGUGUAAAGCUCUUUCGGCAGGGACGAUAAUGACGGUACCUGAAGAAGAAGCUGCGGCUAACUACGUGCCAGCAGCCGCGGUAAUACGUAGGCAGCGAGCGUUGUUCGGAGUUACUGGGCGUAAAGAGUGCGUAGGCGGUUUUCUAAGUUUGGUGUGAAAUCUCCCGGCUUAACUGGGAGGGUGCGCCGAAGACUGGAAGGCUUGAGUAUGGGAGAGGUAAGCGGAAUUCCUGGUGUAGCGGUGAAAUGCGUAGAUAUCAGGAGGAACACCUGCGGUGUAGACGGCUUACUGGACCAUAACUGACGCUGAGGCACGAAAGCGUGGGUAGCAAACAGGAUUAGAUACCCUAGUAGUCC
rnacentral:rRNA from 1 species